rnacentral:rRNA from 1 species
UACGGAGGGUGCAAGCGUUAUCCGGAUUCACUGGGUUUAAAGGGUGCGUAGGUGGGCAAGUAAGUAAGUGGUGAAAUCUCCGGGCUUAACCCGGAAACUGCCAUUGAUACUAUUUGUCUUGAAUACUGUGGAGGUCAGCGGAAUAUGUCAUGUAGCGGUGAAAUGCUUAGAUAUGACAUAGAACACCAAUUGCGAAGGCAGCUGACUACACAAAUAUUGACACUGAGGCACGAAAGCGUGGGGAUCAAACAGG